rnacentral:ncRNA from 2 species
UCACCAUCCAGAGCGGCCGAGAGAUCUGGCUCGACGACGCCGCAGCAACCCGCGGGCACCACGUGCCCGGAGCAGGGUGCUACCGCCAGGACCGAUGGAGG